CAAUACUUCUAUAGUGCAACA
rnacentral:miRNA from 12 species